GACGAACGCUGGCGGCGUGCCUAAUACAUGCAAGUAGAACGCUGAAGGAGGAGCUUGCUCUUCUGGAUGAGUUGCGAACGGGUGAGUAACGCGUAGGUAACCUGCCUGGUAGCGGGGGAUAACUAUUGGAAACGAUAGCUAAUACCGCAUAAGAGUAGAUGUUGCAUGACAUUUGCUUAAAAGGUGCAAUUGCACCACUACCAGAUGGACCUGCGUUGUAUUAGCUAGUUGGUGGGGUAACGGCUCACCAAGGCGACGAUACAUAGCCGACCUGAGAGGGUGAUCGGCCACACUGGGACUGAGACACGGCCCAGACUCCUACGGGAGGCAGCAGUAGGGAAUCUUCGGCAAUGGACGGAAGUCUGACCGAGCAACGCCGCGUGAGUGAAGAAGGUUUUCGGAUCGUAAAGCUCUGUUGUAAGAGAAGAACGAGUGUGAGAGUGGAAAGUUCACACUGUGACGGUAGCUUACCAGAAAGGGACGGCUAACUACGUGCCAGCAGCCGCGGUAAUACGUAGGUCCCGAGCGUUGUCCGGAUUUAUUGGGCGUAAAGCGAGCGCAGGCGGUUUGAUAAGUCUGAAGUUAAAGGCUGUGGCUCAACCAUAGUUUGCUUUGGAAACUGUCAAACUUGAGUGCAGAAGGGGAGAGUGGAAUUCCAUGUGUAGCGGUGAAAUGCGUAGAUAUAUGGAGGAACACCGGUGGCGAAAGCGGCUCUCUGGUCUGUAACUGACGCUGAGGCUCGAAAGCGUGGGGAGCGAACAGG
rnacentral:rRNA from 1 species